GAGUUUGAUCUUGGCUCAGGACGAACGCUGGCGGCGUGCUUAACACAUGCAAGUGGAGCGACGAACCAGGGCUUGCCCUGGGGCAAAGCCGCGAACGGGUGAGUAACACGUGGGUAACCUGCCCCGAUGACUGGGACAACCCGAGGAAACUCGGGCUAAUACCAGAUGAGCUCCUGCCACAUGAGUGGCUUGAGGAAAGGAAGCUUCGGCCUCCGCAUCGGGAUGGGCCCGCGGCCCAUUAGCUUGUUGGUGAGGUAACGGCUCACCAAGGCUUCGAUGGGUAGCUGGUCUGAGAGGACGAUCAGCCACACUGGGACUGAGACACGGCCCAGACUCCUACGGGAGGCAGCAGUGGGGAAUCUUGCGCAAUGCGCGAAAGCGUGACGCAGCAACGCCGCGUGCGGGAAGACGGCCUCGGU
rnacentral:rRNA from 1 species